AUGGACCUUCCCAAUACGGAUGCAACUAGGAACAAUUUUCAUCAGUAUGCUCAAGAUCCAAAUGACCGAAAUACUGGACAGAUGUACCAUGGAUCCAAUUAUCAUCAAUAUCUUGAGAAUGGCACCAGGCAGUCAAUUGAAAGUGCUACGAUGUAUGACUACGUGGUUACUGCUGAUGAUGUUGACACUCUUUUGGCUGUAGACUGCACGCCUAUGGAUGAUAAUACCUGUCAGGCCAAGAAGAAGAUGGUGAGGCUGAUACAGAGGAUCAUCUGGGACAAGAGGGCAAGGAGGGCCACCACGGGACGCCAUCGACGUUCUCUUCAGAGACACCAGCGAUGAGCUCACCGACGAGCUCAUCUCCGACACCAUGAUCGACCUCAUGAUACCCGCCGGGGACUCCGUCCCGGUUCUCAUCACGCUCACCGUCAAGUUCCUCAGCGAGUGCCUUCUCGCCCUUCACCAACUGGAAGAGGAGAACAUGCAGCUCAAAGAGGCGAAAAACCAGCAUGGGUGAGACCUUGCAAUGGACAGACAUGUCAUUGUCAUUCACACAUGUGAUAACAGAGACGCUGUGGUUGGGCAACAUCAUCGGUGGGAUCAUGCACAAGGCGGUGCGCGGCGUCGAGGUGAAUGGGUACCUCAUUCCCAAGGGGUGGUGUGAUCGGUCCACCUCGAUGAUAUGCUCUACGAUGAGCCCUACAAGUUCAACCCAUGAAGGUCGAAGGAGAAGGACAUGAGCAAUGGCAGCUUCACUCCAUUUGGUGGUGGGCAGAGGCUGUGCCCAGGCCUGGAUCUGGCCAGGCUGGAAGCUUCCAUCUUUUUUCACCACUUGGUCACCAGCUUCAGGUUAGAACAAGGUAGCAAGGACUGAGGCUAAUGGUAAGAGGAGGCAGAAGAGGAAAUGAGCUAGGACUGCGGAUUCCAAAAAUUGAUUCUGUGGAGUGACCAAGUUGCAGCUAGAGAACAAGCUCCAUACCUCCUCUUCCAUUGGGUGCCUCCUCCCCCUUGUCUCCCUCCUGUUUGCUGCCUCUAUGGCAAUGCCUAACGGAGUAGUGGCUGGUGGACGAGAGAAAAUGGAGUUGGGGGCAAGUGAGGACUGUGAUGGUAUGAACUAUUCCUCAUCAUUUUUCAGGGUUAUACCAUCCAUCUACUGGGAGGUAUUAUCAGCAAUUUGUAGACAAGCUCUCCAUUCUGGAUCGCAUUAUUUGGUUAAUUGGAUCUCGCCGCAGAGAACGCAAUGUGGCUAAAGUGUGUCGAUCCAUUCAUUAAUCAUAAUAUGUGGACUGCUCGGGAGGAGAAGACGACUUUUACCAACCGUCCAACAACAAGGAAUGUUUAACUGGAUUAACAUUGCAGUUGCAUUGGGUACUCACAGGACACCUUUCCAGUGCCUCGCUCGUUAUCAGCAAAGUUUUAAUCAUUGUAUAUUGAGUAAGGACUGCGCUAAAGAAGAAGAUCUUCAACUUAAAGCUGCUGUCAACACCUUUGGUAUCAACUGGUAACUUGUAUCAGCUAGUAUGGAUGGUUGCACUGGCAAUCAGUGCUCUAAUAGGUGAAAAGUAUUUUUGUGCCUUUACCCUUCUCUUGCCGUUGACUUAAUUCAUGUAUCGUUUUGUUCUCUGUUAUUGGUUACUUUCUGUGGUCAUGUCUUACAUUUUUUUUAAAAUUUUUAAUGUGCUCUCUCAUGCAUGGGUUAUAGCAAUCAUGAAUAUGGAGUUUUUUUUUGCAUCCGCUGGAAACCUAAUGGUGGUGGUUGUGUUGAAUUUGCCAUCCCACCACUAACUCUUGAUUUGGUCACCAUAUUUUCUGAAUGAAGUUACAUCAUUUGUGCAGGUGGAGGAAAACUUUAAACCCUGAUAGCUCAAGAGUGGGUAGAUGGUCUCUCGAUGAUGAUAAACGCCUCAUGGUUAAGUUGUUUGGGUCUGGAAGCUGAAUAAAAUUGCUCAGUUCAUUCCUGGUCACGCACGGAGUCAAUGCAAUGAAGAUCUUUGGGAGUGGCGACCUGAAGAAGACUCCAAAGUAUUGGCGUCAGUCGAUGAGUUUGGGCCUUGUUGGUCCAAGAUUGCUGGCAUGAAGAUUCCUCAUUGUACUCACAAUAUGUGCUUGAGAAGAUGGAGAAAGCUGUGUCAAGAUAAAUUGCCUUCAGUUAAGGCGGCUCAACAAAUAAAGAAAGCCAUUUUUCAAUCCAACUUUUUGAUAGAGAAACAGAGCGACCUGCUGAACCCUAAAGGCCUAAAUCCUAUAUCCAGUUACUUAAUGUCACUUAUUCACUCCGAAGUUGAUGGAAGUGAUGAGAACGCUUGCUCAAGUCAGGAAGCCCCGAAAACAUUCUAGAAUAUACUUUUUUUUUGACGAGAUAGAAUAUACUUUCUGAAGAUGCCGAGGCUUCUCUAAACACAACUACAGCAAAUUCAAGGAUAAAAUCAUCUAGAACUUGUUUUACAGAAGUAGAUCUAGCUUCAUCUUAUGACAUCAACAACUUUUCUGAUUGUUCUAGUGGAGCCAGGAAGAGAAAGCAAUCUGUUCGUUGUGCAAAAGAAAAAUGAGGGGGCGGGGGGUCAAAAACGAUAUUGGGAGGGGAGAGACGUCCCUCCAAACAUUUUGUUAAGAAGAAAUUGUGAGUGUGUUGGGGAUUGAACACAGGACCUCGGGGUUGAAACCACACACCUCUUGCCACUACAUUAUGAAGUGCAUCUUUAAAUAUGGGGGGUGUCUACCACUGGUAAUAAUAAGGCCAUCGUGGAGACAAUGGGUUGUUCUAUCAGUGUCUAUAAUGAGGUAGCCAUGAAACAGAAGACUGGCUCUCCCUCUGUUGGUGUAGAAGGCACGGCCAAGAAGAGAAUGAGGGGCUCUCUCUCUCUGGUAAUGAGGGAGAAGUCAACAAGAGAAUGAGGGGGAAGGCACGGCCAAGAGAAUGAGGGGCUCUCUCUCUCUGGUAAUGAGGGAGAAGUCAACAAGAGAAUGAGGGGAUCUAUCUCUGGUGUUCAGAAGGGAGCAACCAAACAACGAAUGAGGGGUUCAGUCGCUACUGAUAACUGCAUUGUACAAGCAAUACAGAGCACCAUCAAGCAAUAGCCCUUCGACUUGGGGGAUGAGGAUGUAAACCUCGUGACGCUCCGCGUGAUACAGCGCGACGAGGAUGCAAACCUCAUGACGCUCCGCGUGAUACAGCGCCUCUUCUCGCACUAACACUCCAAUGUCCCAAGCUGCUAGGAUGACCACCGUGUCGAAGCCUUCUUUGUCCGCCUUGUUGAUGGAUUUCCUGCUGUCGCACCACCACCAGAGAAAGGGCUGCGGGUUGGAAGGGAAGCACUAUGGCUGCUUGUUGACGCUGAGGAUGAGCCACCAGAUUUGGCAUGAUUCUGCGCAACCGACUAGGAUGUGGUUGAUCGUCUCGUCUUGCUGAUCACAGAGGACACAUUUCGCUGGGUUUGGCUGACCCUGUUUUCUUAAUCUGUCCGCCAUGCAGCAUCUCCUGUGAGCAACUAGCCAUAAGAAGUACCUGCAUUUGGGUGGCACAUGGUUCUUCCAGAUCAGUGCAUGUGGGAAAUUGUACCUCCCAAGGAACAGGUGUGGCAUAAACUGAUUCAGGUGAGUACUGCCCCGAGUGCUCCCACUUCCAGCUGAAGGUGUUGUCCCGUUCUUGCUCAAGAAUGUUGUCCUGUUCUUGCUCAAGAACGAUUGAGUUCACUCGAGCCCAAAGGUUGAGAUACUUGAGAUACAUCAGGGGAGCUCUAGGCGCCCCAAUUGGCAAUUAUGUAGCGCCUCUGCGUCAGUUCUCUUUCGUGUGCACUUCGGCACAGGGCACAUGCUCCCACAUGGCAGGAGCCAGCUCCUGGAUGUUUGCACCAUGCAGCCAUUUAUCCUCCCAGAACAGCAUCGUCUUUCCAUCACCCAAAUGGCAGAUUGUUGAAGCCACGACAAGGUUGCAGACCUGCUUGGAGACAGCCAGACAGGUACCUCUGGUUAUCACUUUAUACUUAAACAAGCCUUCAACCUGAAAGCCACCAAAGUACGAGAUUGACAUAGCAGAAGUGAUUCUCCUACUUCACGAAGGUAUUUGUAUACUCCUAUAUGAACAAGUUAGUGAGCUUGGAAUUAGAGCAACAUGUGAUAACAAGGCUCGUUUUGGUGUUUGCUUGGUGGUGCAGAAUAAAAAUAAGAAGUCCCUGCAUUAUUUCUUGGCCUUGCCAAUAACCCUCAUGUUUCAAAGUACAAAAAUGUACUGAAGCAAUUACCCUUGUAUUCCCCAUGUUACUUCAGAAGCAACAGUGGUCAGAUGAUGAGAAAGACAAACUAGCCUAAAGGAAUAAAGCAACAAUACCAAGAAGCAAUGAUUCUGGACUCGAUGAGGAAGGUGGAGAGAAACCUUGAAUCCUGAAAGUUCAAAAGUGGGGAGUUGGUCUCUCGAUGAGGACAAACGCCUCAUGGUACCUGUGAAGUUGUUUGGGUCUGGCAGCUGGAAUAAGAUUUUGCUCAGUUCAUUCCUGGUCGCACAGAGUCAAUGCAAUGAAAGGUGGCCUAGUGUUCGUGAUCCAGAUAUAGAUCUUGGGGAAUCCAGAUAUAGAUCUUGAGGAAUUUAACGUUGUUCAAGUGAGAAAGCCCCAAAAAACGUUCUAGAAUACCAUGUGGGGACAAUAUAUUGCCUAGUGACAUUAAAUUCUUCAGCUUCUAUGAAUCUCUCUUUCUGAAUCUAUUGAUGGUGAGACUAGUUAACACAGCCACAACAAGUUCAAGGAGGAAAUCGUCUAGAAGUGGAUCUAAAAAGCAAAGUGAUGAAAGUCUAGCUGUAUCAGAUGAUGUCAACAACUCUUCUAACUGUUCUUGUGGAGUCAGGAAGAGAAAGAGAUCUAGUACUGACAAACUCAAGUUGCAGAAAAGAAAAUGAGGGGGUCUAUCUCUGAUGACCAUGAGGUUGUCAUAGAGAAUGCCUCUAUCUCAGUUGGUGAAGGCACGGCCAAGAAGAGAAGGAGGGGCACUAUCUCUCUCUGGUAAAGAGGGAGAAGUCAAUGAGACAAUGAGGGGCUCUUUCUCACGUGCUUAUGAGGGAGCAACCAAACAGUGAAUGAGAGGCUGAGUCUAUUGAUAAUCAUGGUGUUGUACUGGAAAGCAAGAGAGCACCAUCAAUGUACUCUUUUUUUUGGCGUGUCUUUUCCAAUGGAGCUUAAGUGAUAUAAUUAGGAUAUGUUUCCCCAAGAGUUUAAGUUAUACCAAUAAGCAUUAUUUUCUCUUCUCUACAUGAAAUGAGCCAAAGAGAACUCAACAGCAGACAGCAUGGCUAAUGCGGCCUUUGAGUUGGAGCUUCAAACCAUGGCUUCUGAAGAAAGAGAUGCUGAUAUGAGAAAUGUGAGCAAUUGGUGACACAAGUCAACGCCAAGACAUUCUGUGGACAAAAUGUUCCACAUCCACACAUCUUGCCGAUUGCAUGUCCUUCGCUCCAAUAAAUGCAUCCAGCAGGCUUGCAAGGCACUAUAUGUGUGAGUGCACGGCGUCAACAAGAAGUAGAACGUCAUAUGAAGCCUCACGCCAUUCUGUUGUACGCCGGUCGGAUGGAACAGUCUGUCAAGCUGUUAAGCAACAUGGUCCAAACAAAUGGGAACUUCUGAUGAUGGGUCAGCUAUUGCCGUUCCUUCUGGAGCAGAUCCCAUUUCUGUUGAGAAUAGCAACACUUCUUAAACUUCUGAUGAAUAUCAGUGCAGAAAGCAAUCCUCUAAACCUCUGAAGGGAGCUUCGUGUGUGUAUGGUAUUUUCCUAUUGCCAUUGAUAGGCACAACUUCUGGAAGUGGAAGGAAGGAAUAUACAUGUGUACUGUAUAUAUAUACGCGCUGUGUGGUGCCUUACAAUGAACAGCGCAUCUCAUGGUUUCUGGAGUGAAAAAUUGACAUGAAAAUCAAUUUUAGUUCUUUAGAAAAUGGGAAUUUUCAUUGAGCAUUGAAUUAAUUUGCUAGUUUGGUGAUCCAUUAUCGUCUGCAGGGAUCUCCGUAAAAUAUAAUCAGCGUUCCCUGUAUUGUGAUCUGUUUAUGAGCUGAUACACAGGUUGUAAGUAGAUGUGUAUGUGACCUGUUUCUGAACCGGUACACAAGGUUGUUGGAAGUAGAUGUUAACCGGGGAUGUACUCUACAACUGAGCUCUUAUAGACUCAAGAAACGUUGCUCGUCAA